rfam:Schistosoma mansoni strain Puerto Rico chromosome 5, complete genome
UGGACGGCCAUUCUUAGUUGGUGGAGCGAUUUGUCUGAUUGAUUCCGAUAACGAAUGAGACUUUUACCUGCUAAAUAGUAGACUGGUCUUUUGUGCUCGUUUAGGGCGUGGAUUCUAUUGCUUCUUCAUGGAGUAGUAAGGUCGUGAUCCUGUAGGUGUGGUGACAGUUUUGAAUUCUUAAAGGGACAAGUGGCACGUUUAAGUUGCAUGAAAUUGAGCAAUAACAGGUCUGUGAUG